rnacentral:rRNA from 1 species
GCGGGAAGAGCUCAAAUUUGAAAUCUAGUAGCCUUCGGCUGCUCGAGUUGUAAUCUAGAGAAGUGUUUUCCGUGCCGGCCCAUGUACAAGUCCCUUGGAACAGGGCGUCAUAGAGGGUGAGAAUCCCGUCCUUGACAUGGACCCCCGGUGCUCUGUGAUACACUUUCAACGAGUCGAGUUGUUUGGGAAUGCAGCUCAAAAUGGGUGGUGAAUUCCAUCUAAAGCUAAAUAUUGGCGAGAGACCGAUAGCGAACAAGUACCGUGAGGGAAAGAUGAAAAGCACUUUGGAAAGAGAGUUAAACAGUACGUGAAAUUGUUGAAAGGGAAACGAUUGAAGUCAGUCAUGCUCUUUGGUAUUUAUAUCAUUGAGUGGGGUCAACAUCAGUUUUGAGCGAUGGAUAAAGGCACUAGGAAGGUAGCACUCUCGGGUGAACUUAUAGCCUAGCGUCAUAUACAUUGUUUGGGACUGAGGAACGCA